UACGGGGGGGGGUAAGCGUUGUUCGGAAUUACUGGGCGUAAAGGGCUCGUAGGCGGCCAACUAAGUCAUACGUGAAAUCCCUCAGCUUAACUGGGGAACUGCGUGUGAUACUGGAUGGCUUGGAUUUGGGAGAGGGAUGCGGAAUUCCAGGUGUAGCGGUGAAAUGCGUAGAUAUCUGGAGGAACACCGGUGGCGAAGGCGGCAUCCUGGACCAAUAUUGACGCUGAGGAGCGAAAGCCAGGGGAGCAAAGC
rnacentral:rRNA from 1 species